AUGACUUUCCCCAUGGCCACCUCCACCGCCUCCACGGCCGCCGCCGCUUCCCUCCGCCUUCUCCCGGUGCCAGCCACCCCAUCCUCCCGCACUCUCCGCUUCUCGCCCAUCCUCCGCCGCGCGCCCCGCGCCCUCUUAUCCGUCUCCGCCCUCAGCAAGCUCUCCGAGGCGCCCCCCGUCCCCAUCCCGCAGGAGGCCACCCAGACUUUGCCCGGCGAGGACGCGCUUCCCCCUAGGCCCGGGGUCUACGGCGUCUUCGACCCCGCCGGGGACCUGCAGUUUCUCGGGAUCUCGCGCAACGUCAGGGCCAGCGUCGAGGGGCACCGCAGAAAGGUGCCCGCUGACCUCUGCGCCUCCGUCAAGGUUGCAAUACCAGACGAGGAAACACCAGAUAAAAGUGUCCUGACUAAUGCCUGGAAAUCAUGGAUGGAAGAAUACAUAGCAGCCACUGGCAAGGCACCACCAGGGAACGUUGCCGGGAACCACACCUGGAUCGGUCCUCCACAGAGACCUGCAGAUUUGCGUUUGACUCCUGGUCGCCAUGUUCAGCUAACUGUGCCACUUGAACAGUUGAUUGAUCGGUUAGUGAAGGAAAAUAAAGUGGUUGCCUUCAUCAAAGGAUCAAGAAGUGCUCCCCAGUGUGGGUUCUCGCAAAGAGUGGUGGGGAUCCUGGAGGCACAUGGAGUGGAUUUUGCAUCCGUAGAUAUUCUUGAUGAGGAGCACAACCAUGGGUUGAGAGAGACCCUCAAGACCUACAGCAACUGGCCAACCUUCCCACAGGUUUUUGUUGGAGGAGAACUUGUGGGCGGAUGUGAUAUUAUUUCAUCCAUGGCUGAAAAGGGGGAGCUUGCUGCCCUAUUUCAGAAAUAG
rnacentral:rRNA from 1 species